rnacentral:misc_RNA from 1 species
GAUGAAGAACGUAGUGAAAUGCGAUACGUAAUGUGAAUUGCAGAAUUCAGUGAAUCAUCGAGUCUUUGAAUGCACAUUGCGCCCCUUGGUAUUCCAUGGGGCAUGCCUGUUCGAGCGUCAUUUGUACCUUCAAGCUCUGCUUGGUGUUGGGUGUUUGUCUCGCCUCUGCGUGUAGACUCGCCUCAAAACAAUUGGCAGCCGGCGUAUUGAUUUCGGAGCGCAGUACAUCUCGCGCUUUGCACUCAUAACGACGACGUCCAAAAGUACAUUUUUACACUCUUGACCUCGGAUCAGGUAGGGAUACCCGCUGAACUUAAGCAUAUCAAUAAGCGGAGGA